AAUUAGAGAUGCCGCCAGCUCUUUGCAAAGGGAUAAAAGGCUGAAAGGGAGGGGGCCAGAUUCUGGAGGGAGUGCCCCAAGGUUUGGGAGCGAAAUUAGAACAAGCUUGGAAAAUUAAGAGGAAACAAAGAGUUAAUGUCAUUUUAUCCAAGCUCAAAACGCGCUUUCCAAAAAUUAGAAUGUUCUUUCCCCUCCCUAGAAUGUUCUUUCUCCUCCCGUUGGCCAAAAUAACGUCAGCCCUGGUUUGAAACAUUUCCUCUCUCGGAAACCCCCAACACCAUCCUCCUUAACCAGCGACUCCCUGGAGAAGGGAUACGCUCCCUCCUGACAGCAGCGCCCUUUCAAACCACAGUUUGAAAUCCCAAGUUCCUGCGGAGUCAUGGUCACUGCGAACAUUAAUAUAAUAAUUAAUGCCCUGCCGACCAUUAAUAGCUUUAACUGAACUGUUUUUUCAGAGAUGGGCAUUCCGAGGCGAGAAAGGCAGUUAGCCGCCUUGGACUCCGCCGCCGCCUGCACUUCCGGAGCCCGGUUUCUGCAUUUAGGAGCAGCCCGUCUGCAGCCUAGGUGAUUUGCUGAAUGGGAGCAAUGAUGGCGGGUACACCCCAGGACUGCUGUGAGCUAUUCCCAAGGGCCACUGAGCACAAGGAGGGGCAAGCAGAAAGCAGCAGAUACGUGUCACGUGACUGAAGGAAGGAAUAAGUGAACAAACGUGGAAGAGAGAAAGCACAUUGCGGUCCACUCUCCUUUUCUGAGAACUGCCUACCAUCAUGGAGGUUAACCACCUUGUUGCCGAAACAAUCCAGUCCCAGAGGUGCCCACCCUCUGUGACCCCCCACCCUCACUGCCUGUAACCUGCACCCAUUGUACCUCGCCUACCUCCCAUG